rnacentral:rRNA from 1 species
AUUGAACGCUGGCGGCAGGCUUAACACAUGCAAGUCGAACGAGUGGCGGGCGGGAGUGUAAUGCUUGGGAAUCUGGCUUAUGGAGGGGGAUAACUACGGGAAACUGUAGCUAAUCCCGAGUACCAUAGGAUGAGCCCAAGUGGGAUUAGGUAUUUGGUGUGGUAAAGGCUCACAAAGCCGACGAUCUCUAUCUGGUCUGGGAGGAUGACCAGCCAAACUGGGACUGAGACACGGCCCAGACUCCGACGUGAGGCAGCAGUGGGGAAUAUUGCGCAAUGGGGGCAACCUGACGCAGCCAUGCCGCGUGAAUGAAGAAGGCCUUCGGGUUGUAAAGUUCUUUCGGUAGCGAGGCGUUAACUACAGAAGAAGCACCGGCUAACUCCGUGCCAGCAGCCGCGGUAAUAC